rnacentral:rRNA from 1 species
CACGUGGGUGGCGAGCGUUAUUCGGAUUCACUGGGCGUAAAGGGUCCGCAGGGGGCCUGCCGCGCCCGCGGUGAAAUCCCAUGGCUCAACCAUGGGACUGCCGCGGGUACGGGCGGGCUGGAGUGUGUGAUGGGCAGACGGAAUACCAGGUGUAGCGGUGGAAUGCGUGGAUAUCUGGUAGAACACCGAUGGCGAAGGCGGUCUGCUGGCACAUCACUGACCCUCAUGGACGAGAGUGUGGGUAGCGAAC